rnacentral:rRNA from 1 species
CGGACGGGUGAGUAACGCGUGAGAAUCUGCCUUCAGGUCUGGGACAACAGAAGGAAACUUCUGCUAAUCCGAGAUGAGCCUUUUGGUAAAAGAUAAAUUGCCUGGAGAUGAGCUCGCGUCUGAUUAGCUAGUUGGUGUGGUAAAAGCAUACCAAGGCAACGAUCAGUAGCUGGUCUGAGAGGAUGAGCAGCCACACUGGGACUGAGACACGGCCCAGACUCCUACGGGAGGCAGCAGUGGGGAAUUUUCCGCAAUGGGCGAAAGCCUGACGGAGCAAGACCGCGUGGGGGAGGAAGGCUCUAGGGUUGUAAACCCCUUUUCUUUGGGAAGAAGAAAGUGACGGUACCAAAGGAAUCAGCCUCGGCUAACUCCGUGCCAGCAGCCGCGGUAAUACGGAGGAGGCAAGCGUUAUCCGGAAUGAUUGGGCGUAAAGCGUCCGCAGGUGGCCAUGUAAGUCUGCUGUCAAAACCCAGGGCUCAACUCUGGUCAGGCAGUGGAAACUACAAAGAUAGAGUCUGGUAGGGGCAAAGGGAAUUCCCGGCGUAGCGGUGAAAUGCGUAGAUUUCGGGAAGAACAUCGGUGGCGAAAGCGCUUUGCUAGACCAGAACUGACACUCAGGGACGAAAGCUAGGGGAGCGAAUGGGAUUAGAUACCCCAGUAGUC